CAGUAGCCGCGGGAAUACAGAGGGUGCAAGCGUUAAUCGGAAUUACUGGGCGUAAAGCGCGCGUAGGUGGUUCGCCAAGUUGGAUGUGAAAUCCCCGGGCUCAACCUGGGAACUGCAUCCAAAACUGGCGAGCUAGAGUAUGGUAGAGGGUGGUGGAAUUUCCUGUGUAGCGGUGAAAUGCGUAGAUAUAGGAAGGAACAUCAGUGGCGAAGGCGACCACCUGGACUGAUACUGACACUGAGGUGCGAAAGCGUGGGGAGCAAACAGGAUUAGAUACCCCGGUAGUCCCUGUCUCUUAUAA
rnacentral:rRNA from 1 species